GUAGCAAACAUAUUUACAGAAAUGGUCUUA
rnacentral:piRNA from 1 species